AGAGUUUGAUCAUGGCUCAGGAUGAACGCUGGCGGCGUGCCUAACACAUGCAAGUCGAACGGACUUACAUUGAAGCCCAGCGAUAUGUAAGUUAGUGGCGGACGGGUGAGUAACGCGUGGGUAACCUGCCUUGUACUGGGGGACAACAGUUGGAAACGACUGCUAAUACCGCAUAAGCGCGCAGCUUCGCAUGAAGCAGUGUGAAAAACUCCGGUGGUACAAGAUGGACCCGCGUCUGAUUAGCUGGUUGGUGAGGUAACGGCCCACCAAGGCAACGAUCAGUAGCCGGCCUGAGAGGGUGAACGGCACAUUGGGACUAGNGACACGGCCCAAACUCCUACGGGAGGCA
rnacentral:rRNA from 1 species